GACGUAGGGCGCGAGCGUUGUCCGGAUUUAUUGGGCGUAAAGAGCUCGUAGGCGGCUUGUCGCGUCGAAUGUGAAAACUCGGGGCUCAACUCCGAGCUUGCAGUCGAUACGGGCAGGCUAGAGUUCGGUAGGGGAGACUGGAAUUCCUGGUGUAGCGGUGAAAUGCGCAGAUAUCAGGAGGAACACCGAUGGCGAAGGCAGGUCUCUGGGCCGAUACUGACGCUGAGGAGCGAAAGCGUGGGGAGCGAACAGG
rnacentral:rRNA from 1 species